AUGCUUGCUUCGGCAGCACAUAUGCUAAAAUUGGAAUGAUACAAAGAAGGUUAAUAUGGCUCCUGUGUAAGAAUGACACACAAAAAAGUAUCUUCAAUUCCU
ensembl:snRNA U6 U6 spliceosomal RNA